CCUUUAGUAACAAAGCUUUCCCCGAGGGCAGUUCGUUUUCUUGUUCAGACUUGAGAAGUCUGAGAUGGUUGACAAAAUUGGUUGUCCUUUCAAGCAAAACAGCUGUCGCCAGCUGCACGCAUUACAUUCGUCGAAAAAGUCAAUUAGCGUAGGAAGGUUUGAAGGACAACCGUUUCGUCAACAUCCCCAUACAUCUCCCUCAGAACACGUGGGGAUUAAAAGAAAUGGCGGCGAUUCUCACCCAUUCUCCAGAAGACCAAGGAGUUGCAGUCGAAAAGGCAUUUUGUGUGUUAAACUGAAUUCGCAAAAUGGCGCCAUUGCGUCAAAGAGAUUCUCAUCUCCCCUACUGCUGAAGGAGGCAAAAACUUGCCGAUCUCCUAUUCCCGUUCAUGUUUCAAGCACAAUCUUGUCAUCCAAAAUCUGAAAAACAGCUUACGUAGCAUUCGUUUUCAUUGAACCUGAUACACUUCCUCGGAAAUGCAGCUAGGAGGACACACUUGAUUUGCUCGAGUAUUCAUCGAAAAAUUCUCCGCAGUGAAAUGAAUUGAUCAAUAAAACUCUCAGGGAGUUUCAAUAUCCGAAAAUCGUUAAACAUUGCCAUGGCUUUAAAGAAGUCGGGUGGGAGGGUGGCAUACGCCCAGUCUCUUACUAAUUUUUACCAUGUGGCGACGUUGCAAUGGGCGGGAAUCAAGAGUAACUCGGUGCAAAUUGCUCCCUACCUUACAAAACUCGAGGUAGCUUUUUAUUUAAAUAUUCAUGAGCAAAUCGAAAACUUUUUCAAUCGUUAUUGAAUAUUGAGUAUUCAACCUUUUUGUCCAGCUGUUAUUCCAUUUCACAUCUCAUUGUUUGCAUAGUUGUGCUACCAGGAACUCCCUACUUACGACACCGACUAACUGACAAUCUUUUGGUCCCAAGAAGGGAAAUAUUCUUCAGUUAAGUUUAAAACAAUAGGCUGCUGUUUUGUUGACCAGUUGCUGGGCUGUCAUGUCAAUGAAAUAACCAACAAGUGCAUGGCAACUGAAGUGGAAGAACUCUGCAAGUGCUAGACAACACUUUAGGCUGCUACCUUUGUCUGAGGCUUACAACAUGGAAAAUGGCAGACUAGUGGUCCCGUCCCCUGUCACAAGAAUAGCCGUACAAUAAGCCACGAACGGUGAACUCGUCAUGAAUGCAGCAAGCUCUUCAUCUCGAACGAUAAAAGAAAAGAGCUUCAGUCCAAAUCAGCCGUGAGUGCAUAGUGGUUUCGCGGUUUAUGGUACUAUCAUUAAAUCAAUAGAGCCCGAAAUGCUGAGGGAAAAACUCUUUUCAAAUCUUUAUACAUUGGAGCAACGCUGGUGAUUACGUCAAAACGAGGGAGAAAGAGAUCUAAAGAAAACAUAAAAAAGGCUUAGGCUGUGUCCUGUGAUGUGUGAAAGAAUAAUCAUCGUUAUUACUAUAUUAUUUACAGAUGACAGUAGUUUUCGGUGAAGGGAAUAUUUCAUUAGAUAUUCAGGAAGGCGAUGAAUCUGUAAGGGUGUAGGGGGACGUCACCGCUUGUUGUCACUACAAAGUAGAUUGCUGUGCAGGAAUAAAUUGUGAUUUUGAAGAGACUCGUGAAAAUUCCUUGUGCUUCAAGAGGACGACAUCACUUUGAUUCCAUUUUGAUCGUCCCCCCCUUCCCCCAAAAAAAUUAAGGCUUGGGACGCAUCGUAUGACAAAUCGAAAAGGAAGGAAAGGCGCCUGGUGAUAUGGUGGAGUUACGAAGACGAAGGAUUGGCUAUAUAUUCUACGCCUUUAUACACAUUGACGUAAGAAGAGAUCGCGGGAUUUCUUUUCUUUUCUUUCUUGAUUUCUGGAAAUCACCGGAAUGCUGUGCAAACAAACCAGGCGGAAAUGUAUACAGAAGCAAGUCGGCAGGCCUGUUUAAUAUCAAUACUUCCGAAACGUAAAGCAAAGACAGCAGCGUAAACGAAUGGCAGUUACGCAACAAAAUGGAUUUUUGGUUCGUGUAAUCUUUUACAAAGUUCAUCCGCACCCCGUGACUCUGCUUCAGGCGUCUAACAUGCGCGGCCUUCAACACGACCAUAAUGAACCUGGGGGAUCUCCAAGAGCAUCAGUUUACCCAAACUUUUGGUACGACGUUUGGCUAAGCAGUUUGUUGCCCAGCUGGGGCGUGAAUCAACUGUUUCCCUAUUGACGGAUUAACCGUGUAACCCUCCAUUGGUUUUUGUUUGUACCUGCAAUCAGAUGACGGGAAAACUAAUGGCGGUGUAACAUCCUCGGCUGGGUUACGUGCCUUACGCUAAUGGAGAUUUUCUGGAGUCUUUCGCGUCUCGCGUUCAUAGGCCGAUGGUUUUUCGUCUGCUGCAGCCGCCCCUUUGGUUUCAUUGGUCACGGGCAGUGGUGUAAGGUCAUCCGUUCCGCAUCCGACGUCUCUUCCCUUAGCCUUUACAAGUUGAGGAAGAUCAUCCGUGUCGCAUCCGACAUCUCGCUUAGUAAUUUGAGGUUUGUGUUUAGCUAGUUCGGCGGAUUCCCGCACUUGAAUUCUGCAUCUUUCGCAACCAAAAGUAAAUCUUUAUCAUCAGCGGUCAUCUUCAUUUGCGAUUCAGAAGCGAUCAAAAGACUUUGAUGUUAUUCCAUUUUCGCAAUCGUUUCCAUCGCAUUCUCAAGUGCCAACUUCAAAGUUUUCAUUUCGGAUUGAAUGGUUUGCAAGUCUUUGAUCAAUUUCUCUUUUCCUUGUCGGGUUGUAGGCUAACAGAAACAAUGUCCUCCUUCAUUUGUUCCAGAACAUGAUUUACCGUCCAUUUUGAGUGCUCUGAGACAACGUCCUGUGACGAGAUAUGUUCUUGAAUGCUUUCUAUUUUUGGGAGAGAAACCUCACCAACAACCCUCAUCGUUCGUUAACUCAAGUUUUCUCAACCAUUUUCGUUUUUAAUUCAUUUAAAAUCAAAGUUUCAACAAACCUUUCAAAAUAUUUCUUUUUUUUUUUGUGAAAAAAAAUUUGUAUUCUGAUUUUGCGACCGUCACUCCGCUUGCCACUCGUCUUUUGUUUGCGAAUAACAAAUACCUGAUUGUCCAUUGCACCGUGGGCUUCUUACAUAUAGAUAUCCAGUUCGUGUGCGGCAGUUAGACAUAAUACAAAAACUGGACCAUCAUUCACUAUAAAAAAAAAAGAAAGACAAGAAGCUGUAGAAAAGAAAAUGGCACAUAAGGGAAACUAAGUAAAAGAAAAAAACAACGCUGCCCAUGGGAAAUCUGCAUCACAGAGUUGUACAUAUAUAUUGGCUAUAAUGCUAUACUUGGAUACGUCGUGGGAGUAUUGGGUGCGUCAAUAUAUAUAUAACUAUGCUUAUAUAAAUAUGAUAUCUAAACAGCAUCUCACGUGACACGGUUGAAUAGCAGCAAUUUCAGUCGGUUGUUGAGCUGCACUCGGAUCUAUUUGGAGAUAUUGUCUAUUAUGUAAAAUUAUUAACUAAAAGAAUAUUUGCAUUUUCAGUUGUCAUCCACUGUUGAGAAACGAUAUACAGAUCUCAAAAUAUC